rnacentral:miRNA from 1 species
AGGAUGACGGUGGGGCUGGUGA